GCACUGCUGAGGAGUCCUACACUAGAACGAAAUGGCCGUCCAGUGC
rnacentral:hammerhead_ribozyme from 1 species